GGGUGAGUAACACGUGGGCAACCUGCCUGUAAGACUGGGAUAACUCCGGGAAACCGGGGCUAAUACCGGAUAACUCAACGAACCGCAUGGUUCGGUGUUAAAAGAUGGCUUCGGCUAUCACUUACAGAUGGGCCCGCGGCGCAUUAGCUAGUUGGUGAGGUAACGGCUCACCAAGGCAACGAUGCGUAGCCGACCUGAGAGGGUGAUCGGCCACACUGGGACUGAGACACGGCCCAGACUCCUACGGGAGGCAGCAGUAGGGAAUCAUCCGCAAUGGACGAAAGUCUGACGGUGCAACGCCGCGUGAGUGAUGAAGGUUUUCGGAUCGUAAAACUCUGUUGUUAGGGAAGAACACGUGCUGUUCGAAUAGGGCAGUGCCUUGACGGUACCUAACCAGAAAGCCACGGCUAACUACGUGCCAGCAGCCGCGGUAAUACGUAGGUGGCAAGCGUUGUCCGGAAUUAUUGGGCGUAAAGCGCGCGCAGGCGGUUUCUUAAGUCUGAUGUGAAAGCCCACAGCUCAACUGUGGAGGGUCAUUGGAAACUGGGGAACUUGAGUACAGAAGAGGAGAGCGGAAUUCCACGUGUAGCGGUGAAAUGCGUAGAUAUGUGGAGGAACACCAGUGGCGAAGGCGGCUCUCUGGUCUGUGACUGACGCUGAGGCGCGAAAGCAUGGGUAGCGAACAGGAUUAGAUACCCUGGUAGUCCAUGCCGUAAACGAUGAGUGCUAGGUGUUAGGGGGUCCAACCCUUAGUGCUGCAGUUAACGCAAUAAGCACUCCGCCUGGGGAGUACGGCCGCAAGGCUGAAACUCAAAGGAAUUGACGGGGGCCCGCACAAGCGGUGGAGCAUGUGGUUUAAUU
rnacentral:rRNA from 1 species